AACGAACGCUGGCGGCAGGCUUAACACAUGCAAGUCGAGCGAGACCUUCGGGUCUAGCGGCGGACGGGUGAGUAACGCGUGGGAACGUGCCCUUCUCUACGGAAUAGCCCCGGGAAACUGGGAGUAAUACCGUAUACGCCCUUUGGGGGAAAGAUUUAUCGGAGAAGGAUCGGCCCGCGUUGGAUUAGGUAGUUGGUGGGGUAAUGGCCCACCAAGCCGACGAUCCAUAGCUGGUUUGAGAGGAUGAUCAGCCACACUGGGACUGAGACACGGCCCAGACUCCUGCGGGAGGCAGCAGUGGGGAAUCUUAGACAAUGGGGGCAACCCUGAUCUAGCCAUGCCGCGUGAGUGAUGAAGGCCUUAGGGUUGUAAAGCUCUUUCAGCUGGGAAGAUAAUGACGGUACCAGCAGAAGAAGCCCCGGCUAACUCCGUG
rnacentral:rRNA from 1 species